CCGGGGAGCCGGGCGACCGCGUCAUUGCACUUGCAAUGCCGAGGAAAGUCCGGGCUCCACGAAACGAGGGCGGCGGGUAACGCCCGCCGGGGCAGUAACGCUUGCGCUGCUGCUUCAGGGAAAGUGCCACAGAGAGCAGACCGCCGAUGGCUCGCGCUCUUUUCGGAGAGUCGUGAGCACAGGCAAGGGUGAAAGGGUGCGGCAAGAGCGCACCGGGGCGCUGGCAACAGCGCCUGCAUGGCAAACCCCGCCCGGAGCAAGACCGAAUAGGGGCGGCGAGCCCUGGCGCAAGCCGGGGCAGGCGGGUUUCGCGCCGAGCCGUCCGGGUUGGUCGCUGGAGCGGUGCAGCAAUGCAUCGCCGAGAGGAAUGGUCGCCAUCCCGGCGCCGGUCCGCCUUGCGGAUACCGGCCGGGAUACAGAACCCGGCUUACAGGCUCCCCGGCACU
rnacentral:RNase_P_RNA from 1 species